rnacentral:lncRNA from 1 species
GUUAUUUAUGUAGGAGGGCGGUCCAGCUGAUCAACGAUCACCUCCGCCGAGGGCAUCGUCGCAGCCAUUGACAUCGCCUCCGCCGCCAUUGGCAUCGCCACCGCCGAGGGUAUCUCCUUCUCCCUCGUCCAGACACGUCCCCCGUGUAUCUCCGAUACACAGUGAUGAUUUGUAUGCUCGUCUGACUGGAUUUAUAGCGGAGGAGGUCGGCGCGCUACAACGAGAGUUGACGGAGAGGGUCGAUGAUCUGGGAUGAGAGUUGACCAAGAGGGUCGACGAUCUGACGGGAAAGGUCGACUAUCUGAUAGGAAGAGUCAAUGAUAUGGGACGAGAGUUGACAUUGAGGGUUGAUGAUCUAUCACAUGAUCUUGGAAUGCUACGGUCUUGCGUUAUCGACCUUCAGGAUGCGGUAGGGACACUUAGAGGAGAUUUAACCGUUAGGCGAUGGGGGGACAGAGAGGAUGGUGGAGAUGAUCGAGAGGGUGGCAGAGAUGGUGAUGGAGAGGGGGGUCACCCACAUUUUUGGUAUGAUGAGAUAUUAGAGUUAUUCUAGUUG